rnacentral:lncRNA from 1 species
AUGGCAUUCGUUGUUUUCACUGUUUUAGUAAUUGGAUAAUACACUUCUGUGAAUGGAGUGUGACAUUAGGAAAGAGAGUCAAAUAAAGUUUCCUUGCAUAAGGUGAGUCGGUCACGGGUCAAAAUGGGUCAUAUACUGGUACGUUUUGAUUUAGGAGGUACUUACGCAUUGAGAAACUUGCGUUCUGUUUGGCCCGUAUGAUCUUUUUCUUUUUUAGCGAACUUUUUUCUGAACCUGAUCUUUAGAGAUAAUAUAUAAUGGGUUGACCCGAUCAAAUGGGCCGAAAUUGCCUCUUCUAAUCACAUGGCUAGUGUUUUUUCAAAAUUUGUAAUCUUUAACUGUUUAUCUAAAUAUAUGAACAUCGUCCCAACAUUUUUAUACCUUCUUUCUAUUUGUUUUGAUGCAGAUGUUUUUUUUUGAAGACUAAAGGACAAAGCUUUUAUGUGCGCACGGGCGUGUACCGAUUGAAAUAUCUACUAGAGCGUGUGCGUAUUCAGGGUUUUUGAAGAACCUUACUUCUAAUCACGUGGGCGUUUGAUCCUGGUUUUUGAAGAACCUUACGUCUAAUCGCUCUAACUAAUCACAUAGGCGUUUGAUCUUAGUUUUUGUUCUGAAACUGAAUGUGUCAAAUAUACCCUACUUCUAAUCGCCCUAAUCACACGGGCGUUUGAAUUUUGUUCCGAAACUUAAUAUUAGUUGUAGUUUAAAUGAUCAGUUUACUAAGGCAAAAUGGAUUUUAAUAAUCCAAACUUUCACCCAUUGGCCGGGCAACGGACCCAACUUCAAAAAUAACCGGUGGUGGUCCCAACUUUUCGUAUAUUGUAAACCAAUGGACUUUUACUAAAAAAAACUUAAUUUCUUUUUGUCUCCUUAUCCUUUUCGGCGACUUUUCCGUAUAAUGUAAACCAAUGGACCUUUACAAAACUGAAAAUGAUAAGGAGACAAAAAGAAAUUAAGGUUUUUUUUAGUAAAAGUCCAUUGGUUUACAAUAUACGAAAAGUUGGGACCACCACCGGUUAUUUUUUAAGUUGGGUCCGUUGCCGGCCAAUUGGUGAAAGUUUGGAUUAUUAAAAUCCAUUAUUCCGUUUACUAAUGCUUUAACGUUUGUGGGUCUAAAUAAUCAGCUAAAGUAGCCGCAACCAAACUUAUUAUCAAAAGGUUAAAUAAAAAAUCUAAAGUUACUUCCUUUAUCCUAAUUUCGAGACUUUUACUCUCGUCUAAGUGGUUGCAUCUCUUUUUAUUCAUAAGAAUUUUUUAUAUUAUUCUCUUAGACCGGCGUUUUUUUACAAAAGAAAAAAAAAACCUCCGCGUGUUUUGAAUCACGCUUUGAACAUUUUGAGUUGGCCAAUAACAUUUAAUCUUCAUUCUUUAGUCUAAUAGCUUUUUUUGUUGGUUUUUUUUAUUUUUAUUUAAUUCUCUACACCCUUUUAACAUAAUGCCCACAUCUCCACUACACCCAUUUUAGAAAAACGCCCAAUAAAUUGCCCCUUGCUGACUGGACUGCCACAUGACAGAAAACGCCCAAUAGUGGGGGCAUUAUUCACCCAAACCACUACACAUGGUCUUAACGUGAUUGCAUCUUUUUUUAAAUUAUUAAAAGAUAAUUAUGUGUACCAUUGGGUCACUUUGAAAUUGGUAAAUGAACACUAUGUAUAAAGGACCAUGAUAUUGAUACAUCCAAACUUUAUUACUCCUAGUCUCCUAUUCAAAUUCAAAAGUAUUAAAAAACAAUGGUGAAGCCUAGGCUUAUAGCUUUGUGGUUAUGGAAAUGAGGGAAGACUCCUAGCGAAUAGUUUCGAGUUCGAUUCCUGAUCCACCCGGGUUUUACCGGCUUUGCAUUGUCGUGCCCUCGGGCGGGUGCAGGGUCGGGUUUUUCCCAGAACUGGUGGCAUGGUGGGCUAGGGGCUCCGUGCGUGCAGGUUGGGCUGCCGCGGGCUACCUUUCAGCCAAUGGGUGCCGCGUACGGAGUACCCGGCGAUUCUUAUGUUAGACGUUAAAAAAAAUUACAGUAAAAAAAAUGGUGAUAAUAUUAUUUUAUAGGUUGUCUCUGAUUAAUAAAAUAUUAGAUUUAUGUAGUUUUCGUAAGGAAUUUAUUUGUUUAUUAAGAAUCAUAUAGUUUAAUUGUUGUGAUUUUGUAUUCGAUUAACUUUUAUAUUGUAUUUCUUUUGUCUUAUUUUGAAAACAAACAUAUUCGAUUAACUUUUAUAUUGUAUUUCUU